UCGCCAUUUAAAGUGGUACGCGAGCUGGGUUCAGAACGUCGUGAGACAGUUCGGUCCCUAUCUGCCGUGGGCGUUGGAUGAUUGAAGGGAGUUGCUCCUAGUACGAGAGGACCGGAGUGAACGAACCUCUGGUGUUCGGGUUGUCACGCCAGUGGCACUGCCCGGUAGCUAAGUUCGGAAUCGAUAACCGCUGAAAGCAUCUAAGCGGGAAGCGAGCCCUGAGAUGAGUCAUCCCUGACCCCUUGAGGGUCCUAAAGGGCCGUUGGAGACCACAACGUUGAUAGGUGGGGUGUGUAAGCGCAGUGAUGUGUUGAGCUAACCCAUACUAAUUACCCGUGAGGCUUAACCAUACAACACCCAAGAAGUGUUCUG
rnacentral:rRNA from 1 species